UUCUCCUUCCCCUUCCUUCCCCUCGUUCCCUUUCUUCUUUCCCAAGUUAUCUUUUCUUUCUUUCCUGUUUUUGUAAAGGAAAACUCAAAAUUUCCUGCUUUCAUUAUUGAAUGUUACUCUGAUUAUUGCAGGGAAGAGGGAGAGUCACAGAUAGAUUCAGCCUUCUCUGGGGAUAUUUGCAUUUUUAAAAGAAGAGCUUAAUAAAGUGACCUGAUUAUUUAUUUGUAUGAAUAAGAGGAUAUCACUCUAGCCUCAUCUCUAUUGCCACUAACAGUAGCUCCAAGAUUAACUUUGCAAGCCCUCAUGUCUAGCGCCAGGUUCAAAGCAUGUAGUAGGUCUUUAUUUUGUACAUAAAUAGAACCUAGUGUUCUCUUCUUUUCUAAGAUUACUGCCACUUUCUGACCCCAAAGCUGUUCUGUAACCUUUUAAUUAUUUCAUAUUCCCCUUCGAAGCUGUUUGUUCUCACAAAGAAAACAUCAAAAAAAAAUCCUUCCAUAGGAAACAAAGGAAAAAGGGCAAAAUGGAACUGUGGUACUCCAAUCCUUUUGCUUUGUUUUAUGGCAAGAGGCAUAGUUGAUGUCUCAAUAGGUUUUAGGAGGAGAGGUUGAAAAAGAAGGCCUAGCUAAAAUACUAAAAUAGAGAAGUUUCCUCCUUUCCUGCAUCAGAACUACUUCCUUUAAUUUGCUCUUCUCCCAUCUUCUGUCACCAAGUAUUUUGUUUAAGGUUUAAUAAGGUUCCUCUAUUAUAAUAUUUUGAGUCUGGAUAUUUUUAUAAAGAUAAAUUGAGCUUACAAACUUUUUAUUGUUUCUGUUUUCCAACUCUCCAUAUUCUUCAUGUCUAUAUAGUGUGAUAUGUGGUGGUUCAACCAUAUAUCCUGAAGAAGUUUUAAGAGUUGCUAUUAUAUCCUCUUUCUAGAAUGUAGAAAGGUGUUAUAUUUGGUUUAGAAUGUUAAGAGUCAGAAGUUUCAAAAUUUUCUUAGUCAUAGGGGAAUAGAUUUUUGCAAAGUAGAAAAUUUAAAUCAACACAGACGGUUUUUAGGCUAAACCAAAUGCUGAAAUUCACUUGACGUAUUUUUUCUGUUAACUUUGUGUGAGACCAGAUUAUUUUGUCUCACUUUCUCCCAUCUACAAAACAAAGAUAUGAUUACCUACCUCAUAGAGUUAUUUGUAGUUGUUAAAAAUUUGUAUGAAAGUAAGUAACUAGUUGGUUUCUAAGAAUAGUGUUUGAAUAGUAGUCGUAGUAGUACUAGUAGCAGUAGUAGACUUUUUAUAUUUGCCAUGUCAACACAAACCUUAGUGAAUUAACUAGUAGUUAAGGUUUCAAGUUUACAUCUGCAUUUUCAGAAUUGAGGAUACUUGCUGUAUGUGGCUGGAAUACUGUUUUGUUACAGGAAAUUACGUGUAGUACUUGAAGGUCCUUGAUCUCUACAAAUGUAUAAGCUUAGCAUAGCUGAAGGGAGAAUUGGAUUUAGAGAAUCUAUGAAUCUGGACACCAGCAGUAUGUGAGCAAGUUUUUUAAUUUCAAGUCUUCAGUUUCUUCAUCAAUAAAGUAAAAAGGUUGGGCCUUCUGCUCUCCCUAGGGUCUCUUACCCUUACCAUUCUUUGACUUCUGAUACAAGAUUCCUUUAUGUCAUAGUACAUCUACUUAAAAAUAAAAUGCUUUGAAAUUUAACACAUAUUAGUUUUCUAAGUAUAAGCAAAUCAUUUAAUCUCCUAGAUCCUCAGUUUCCUUAUCUGAAAUAUUUGUACUGUUUGUUUCAGAGGAUUGCUAUGAAGAAACUUCUUUUUCCUUAAAAUACUAUGUGUGAGUUGCUGUUAUUGUUAUUUUGAGUAUAGUAUUUCUUAAGCAUAUAUUUAUUGAUUAACUAGAGCAAGAGACUUUAUGAAAAAUAUGAUUUAUUUCUUGCCUAGAAACAAACAAACAAACAAAAAGUUAGUUUUCAAUAGAAAGAGAGCGGUCCAAUCUACUGUCAUUUAUUGAAUUUUAGUGUAUUCUUGAAAACUGCAUUUCCCCUAACUCUUAAAAAAAAAUUCCUGUCUCCAUUUAAUUUUUUUUUUUUACUGUAGCUUGAUUGUUUCAAACAUAUUUGUUUACGUCUAAAGUCUGAUAUGAAAGUCUGAGAGGUUUUUAUACUUUUUCACAGAAGAAACUUAUUCUUCAGGUUGAAGAUUCCCAUUUCUAAAUUACAUUCCACUUAAUCAGGCAAUUUCAACUAUCUUGUUAACAUCUUUAUGAACUUUUUAGAAAUUGGGGGGUUUUUGCUUUUGUUUUUAUGAACUAUAGGCAUUAAAUUUCCUUUACAGUUUCUCCUUAAUUUUAAAAAAUUCUUUCAAAAUUAAUUAGCAUUAUAAAAUAUACUAAUAAUGGUAUUUGGAACAAGAUGCUCAUAACUACCAGAUUGGGGAAAUAGUUAUAUUAUCAUGUAUUGGUUCUUUAAAAGGUUGAAGGCUAUGCCAUGGUCAGUGGCUGUAGACAGAUUUAUGUCAUUAUAUCACAAAAGAAAUUUUACAAGUUUGAUUUAGAAUAGGGAUUUUUGUCUACUAAGUUGCUCUUUGAGAUGCUUAUGGUUAGUGUAUCAAAUAAAGCAUGCUUUAUUUGUCUUGUUAAAUUUAAUGAUCUUAAACUUAGCUUAACAACAAUUGCUGGGUAAAAGAUUUCAGGAAUUUGUGAAUAUUUACAAAUAAAACUCUUUGGGGGCUGUUUGCAAACAAAAACACUUAACUGUUCAGAAAUUAUUGAUGACCCAUGAGAAAUUAAAUGAAGAGCUGGUGCUCUGUUUCAUACUGCUAUCAAAGAAUGUAAAGUCAGGCUUUGUGCAGGAUUCUUCCAGACAAAUGCGUAUUCCAUGUGGGCCACUGUUCUGCUAAAUGCUCUCAGUUCUCCUUUUGCAAUCAAGAUUAUGUUGCUAAGGAGAUUUUGCUUUUAUUGGUGCCAUUGAUUUGUGUUAAUACGUUUUGAAUACCUCUUGGUAUUCUUCCUUAGACAAGGCCAAAAGAAAAACUUCCCCGAGUUUCCCAAUUUACAUCACAAAUGGAGCGGUGGUGUAAUGAAGCCGAUAUAAAGUGGGCAGUUGAAAGGGAACUAAAGAAGGGCACUCAAGUGAGAAAUGAAGAAAUGUGCCGAGUGCAGGCUGUGGCUGCCUUCGUCCAGCUGCAGGAACUGGCUCCAGCCUGAGGCCGGGGGAGAGGGAGCGCCUCCCUCCCAAAAGACCACCCACUUUCUGUGGCCUUGCUUGGCACUCCACGGAUUACCUCAUUGACGAAGAUGGGGCCAUCACAAAGCCAGAAGAAAUGGUUCUUAGCCCUGGAGCUCCUUGACUUGUUUCACCCAGAGCAUGGCUAAGACCACACUUUGGAUUCUAGGUGAUCUCCAAGUAGUUGAAGGGGGGAUCCCCAAGGAUGAGGGACCAGACCCUUGAACGUCUAGGUUGGUGCGUCUCCUUCGUGGGGGAGACGACCGGGUUUGGCUACCUGCUCCUUUUUCCUAUGGCGCUCUCCCCCAUCAGCAUUGUGAGUGGAUCCUGAGCCUAAGAAAGGGAUUUGAUCUGACUUAUUAAUUGGCUUGCUUGCAACUUAGUAAGUGCUGUGUAGAAGAGCAUCUAGUUAGAAGAGCUGAGCCCUUCAUGUUCUUAACCCCUUUGGGAGCUUCCAUUCAGAGAUGACAAUGUUCCAGAGAGGGACACAGUCACAUGGACUCCAUUAAUGUUAUGCACUGAUAGCACUAAGAUUUCGGGCUAUUGCUUUUAAUUUUUUGAAAGUUACUUAGGCUUAACAAGUUCUGUGGGGAAAGUAAUUUCUAGAUGAGGUUUAAAGGAAAUUCGGAAUUUGACACAACAUGGAGAGUCCCAAUUUAUAAAUACAGCUGCAAAUGUGUAAUAAGCUUGUAUAAAAAAACCUUUCUUCAGAAUAAAAUUAGGUGGUGAAUUGAUUCGGCAAAAUAAUUAUAAAUUUAAACUCUUAAGUGUUGUAACACUGAACUGAGCAAGAAAUACAUUCUCCAAAGGCAUUCUAAGGUCACUGGGAAGCAUGUAAUUUAUGGAUAGUGUGAUUUGGUAUAGAAAGGUCUCGGUUUCUUCUGUCAACAGUAUCUUUUCGAAAGCCUUUCAAAGAACGAGAAAACCCAAAGAUUGAAAUCAAUAGAAAUCAACUAUUCUGUUUUCAAUGGUGAAAAUCCAAAGCUGUGUAGGCAGUAAAGAUCUUGGUGUAAUUCUCCUUAAGUCCAUAAUUGAUUUGGAUGUUUCUUGACAAAUACUGGUCUGGUUUCAGAAACACUUUCAGUGAAUGAAUUUCAAUUUCAAAGAAGAGUGACAUUAAAAAUGAUGGAAAUUUUAAUUUUAAAACUUCACUCUUCUAUCCACAUUAACUUUGGUUUCCCACAAUGUCCCUAGGUAUUCAAGUUAGUGAGGGAAAAAAAAUAUAUGAACAUUUCUUCCAUAUUGGAAUUCACUUAAGCAGAACUGGAACUUAAAAACUUAUUGCUUAAUAGGGUAAUGAGACCAUGGUUCACGUCCUGUGUAUUAAGAAGGAAUAUGAAGUUAAAAAAUCUGAUCCCUAAUGUGUUUUGUUUUUAGCUUUUGACAUAUAUCUGGUAACACUAGAGAAAUUACUGUCAACUAAGAAAAGAAAUAGUUUCUUUUUCAGCCACCCCAUGUUUCUUAUAUUGAAAUGCCAGGUGCAAUCCUUGGACUCUUGUCUGGAUGAUGAGUGAUAUUAAUAAAGAGAAACUUUGGAAUAUUUGUGAAUAAAGCAUGACAUCACGAAAAGAGGUAUUUCAGAAUAAAGUAACUACUUUGCA